GACGAACGCUGGCGGCGUGCUUAACACAUGCAAGUCGAACGAAGUGGCGAACGGGUGAGUAACGCGUAAUCAACCUGCUCUUCAGGGGGGAACAACAGUUGGAAACGACUGCUAAUACCGCAUACUGAAGGAGGGGUUGGCGUUGGAUUAGCUGGUUGGGGGGGUAACGGCCCACCAAGGCGACGAUCAGUAGCCGGUCUGAGAGGAUGAUCGGCCACAUUGGGACUGAGACACGGCCCAGACUCCUACGGGAGGCAGCAGUGGGGAAUAUUGGACAAUGGGCGAAAGCCCGAUCCAGCCAUGCCGCGUGUGUGAAGAAGGUCUUCGGAUUGUAAAGCACUUUAAGUUGGGAGGCGUUACCAACAGAAUAAGCACCGGCUAACUUCGUGCCAGCAGCCGCGGUAAUAC
rnacentral:rRNA from 1 species